rfam:Glossina palpalis gambiensis isolate 146720 unplaced genomic scaffold Scaffold338, whole genome shotgun sequence.
CCUUCGAUAGCUCAGUUGGUAGAGCGGUGGACUGUAGAGGUUGAUAAGAAUAAACAGUAAUCCAUAGGUCGCUGGUUCAAAUCCGGCUCGAAGGA